rnacentral:rRNA from 1 species
UACGAAGGGGGCUAGCGUUGUUCGGAAUCACUGGGCGUAAAGCGCACGUAGGCGGAUCUUUAAGUCAGGGGUGAAAUCCCGAGGCUCAACCUCGGAACUGCCUUUGAUACUGGGGAUCUCGAGUCCGGGAGAGGUGAGUGGAACUGCGAGUGUAGAGGUGAAAUUCGUAGAUAUUCGCAAGAACACCAGUGGCGAAGGCGGCUCACUGGCCCGUAACUGACGCUGAGGCACGAAAGCGUGGGGAGCAAACAGG